AAAGCCUCUUCUACCCAUUCUCGCAAUGCUAUCUUCGUGGUUUCAUUUUUCUCAUUCUAGAAUUAUAUAUCUUCGAUCCAUUUUUAUUUUGUUGAUAAGCUUUUAUUCAAAUUUUUACCCUAAUUUUCUUCAUUCUGCAGCAUUUAAGUUUUUCUUUUUGAUUAUUUUUCAGCUUUAAUCGGGUCUCUUGUGGAUGAUUUUUGUUCUUAUCUUAGCUAUUUAUGAAAUUAUGUGUACGCCUAUUUACUAUUAGAAGGGGAUUUUUUUUGGCUGAAGGAAUAACCAUGGAGCUAAAAUGCGCAAUACUAUCGAUCAGACGAAGACAUCGAUGGCUGGAUGAUUUUCAGCACAGUAUUGACGUUUAAGAGGUUCUUUGUGUUUUACUCCUUCAAAAUGCUGGGUUGCAAUCUAAAGAUAUUUCUGUUCGUUCAAUGGCCAUUGACCUUCUUGGCACAAUUGAUGCAAGGCUGAAACAAGAUGCAGUCCGCUGUAGGGAGGAGAAAUUCUGGAUAGUAAAGGAGUCGAGAAGCGAGGACAUGAUUGACCAGAAUCUUCCCAACGAUGCAUGUUCUGUUUGUUUGGAUUCCAGGAUUGACAAAUCACUUGAUCGAUGCCAUGAUUGUCAGAGAAUGUUUCACGUUAACUGUACUGGAAUCAGGGGUCAUGAUAUGUCUAAUCGUGUCUUUCAAUGUCAGAUGUGUUUCUCCAAGAAGCUGGGAAAAUAACUGUACUAAGUCAGGAAAGACGUCACAAGUUACUGAGGCAAUCACAAAUUUGGAGAUUGUUCAGCAGCCACUACUGAAUUAUCUCCAUGAUGUUGCAACUGUUGACGAUUUACAUUUAUUUACUCACUGGUUCUAUCUAUGUCUUUGGUAUAAAGAUGACCCUAAUUUAGCGUAGAAGUUCAUGUAUUAUGUUGCACGAUUAAAGUCACAAGCAAUUGUGUGCGACUCUAGUUCACUUUCUUCACUAAUGACAAGAGAGUCGGCAAAAAAGAUAACUCUAGCGUUGGGACAGAAUAGUUCUUUCUCUAGAGGAUUUGACAAGAUUCUGCAAGUCCUUCUGGCAAGUUUGAGGGAGAACUCUCCAAUCAUUCGUGCAAAGGCGUUGCGAGCAGUUAGUAUCAUUGUUAAGGCUGAUCCAGAGGUUUAAGCUUGUCCAAACAGCAGUGGAAUGGAGGUUUUGUUACUCUGCUAUAUCUGCCCGAGAAACUGCGUUGGAACUUGUAGGCAGGCAUAUUGUUUCAUAUCCUGAUGUUGGUUUAAAGGUAUUGAAUUUAGAUCUAUAUGAUCCCACAUGCUUUUUUGACAUCUUGUUCAGGAUGGCUAUGGUUUUCCCUUUAACGCUGCUUUUGGUUGCACAUAACUUUGAGAAGUUGGUAGAAAGCAUAAAGGAUGCUAGAGUAAGCAUGCGAAAGCGUGCUAUCAAAAUCAUACGGGACAUGUCCACUUCAAAUGCUAACUUCUCAGAGUUUACUACUGUUUGCGUUGAAAUUAUUUCCCGAGUAAAUGGUGAGGAAUCCAGUGUACAGGUAGUAGUCAAAUCAAUUUCCUUACAGUUUUAACAUUCUAGCCGAUUCUUAUUUUGUCUUCUCCUUGAUUAAAUAGUGAUACAAGCAGCAUGACCAUACCAAUAUCUACCCCAGAUGAAUGUAGAACUUGUAAGGUUCAUGUGAUGAUCGACCAUAAUCAUCGUUACACUUUAGACUUGACAAGUGGCUGCAUUGGCCCAUAAAUGGUCGACUUAGAACAAGGCACACGGUUCUUGGUGCAAUUCAUAGGCCAGUCCCAAGUUAGUCAUUCUGCAUGGGAAAGGGGCCCUGUCCUGCCUACAAAGCCUCCACUUGGGUGGACUGGGUAGCAGCCAGGGAUUUUAAAAAUAAUUUUGAACUUUGUAUUUAUUUAACAAGAUUUAAGUAUUUAAAUUAUUUUUGAGUGAAAAUUGAAGAAAUGUAAAAUUGAAGAUUUACUUUGGAAAAAUAUAGUUGAAAUAUUAAAAAAUCUUUAAUAUAAAAACAGAUGAAGGUUAAGUAUAAGCUUGGGAUACAUUAGUGUGAAAUUAGAGCCUCAAAGAUUAGUACUACCUGUUCCAUUUUAUAUGACAACCUUUUGUUUAUAGUUUGAUGAAUCUUAUAAACAAAAUUAACAGAUAUCCUGAUGAAGAAGCUGGUCAAUUGUCCAUGGCAUUUGUUGUGAGACGUCCCCAAAGCACUGUUGACAAAGAACAAGUGAUUGACUUUAUUUCAAAACAGGCUGCAAUAACUAAGCACAACCAAGCUGUAAACACGUAGUAGUAAAAGAGGAAAGGAAACCUCCGUCUACCAUUUGAAGAACGUAUAUUUCUGCCUCUUUAGCGUUACUUAGUUGGACAGUGGUAGCAAUAUCUUAAAGGAAGAGAGUAAGAAUUUCCAUCUGUUAUUAUUUUAUCAAGGAAGAUAAUGUUUUUCCUUUCCGAAGGUAAAUAUAGCUAAAGCAUGAUGGUGCUUCAUGUUGUAGUGAUGAAAACAAACAAGGUAGCUUGAUCUAUGGAAUUAAACAGCAACUGCAAUAUAUGGAAUCAAACAUGGACCCUUUUUGGUUUAGAAGGAUGACAUUUCAUUUAGCACAUUCAAGGAGUAAAUAUACAUUUCAUCUAAAUUGUUGUCGUGUCCAGUAUAACUAAUCUAUCAAAUUGUGAAUUUUUGUUAUUUCUAUUCAUCGUUUGAGGCAACGUAUGAAGAAUAGAAUACAUAGACUUUCAUCGUUGGGCCCGAUUCAUAUCUAGUAUUCUCAAUAUUUUACCU